AGUGAACGCUGGCGGUAGGCCUAACACAUGCAAGUCGAACGGCAGCACAGUAAGAGCUUGCUCCUACGGGUGGCGAGUGGCGGACGGGUGAGGAAUACAUCGGAAUCUACUUUUUCGUGGGGGAUAACGUAGGGAAACUUACGCUAAUACCGCAUACGACCUACGGGUGAAAGCAGGGGAUCUUCGGACCUUGCGCGAUUGAAUGAGCCGAUGUCGGAUUAGCUAGUUGGCGGGGUAAAGGCCCACCAAGGCGACGAUCCGUAGCUGGUCUGAGGAUGAUCAGCCACACUGGAACUGAGACACGGUCCAGACUCCUACGGGAGGCAGCAGUGGGGAAUAUUGGACAAUGGGCGCAAGCCUGAUCCAGCCAUACCGCGUGGGUGAAGAAGGCCUUCGGGUUGUAAAGCCCUUUUGUUGGGAAAGAAAAGCAGCAGGUUAAUACCCCGCUGUUCUGACGGUACCCAAAGAAUAAGCACCGGCUAACUUCGUG
rnacentral:rRNA from 1 species